rnacentral:rRNA from 1 species
UACGUAGGAGGCAAGCGUUGUCCGGAAUUACUGGGCGUAAAGAGCGUGUAGGCGGUACCGGCAGUCUGCUGUGAAAACGCCGGGCUUAACCCGGCGCGGUCGGCGGAAACUCCGGCACUUGAGGGCGGUAGAGGGGGGGUAGAAUUCCCGGUGUAGUGGUGAAAUGCGUAGAGAUCGGGAGGAAUACCUGUGCGAAGGCGGCCCCUGGCCGCACCUGACGCUGAGACGCGAAGGCUAGGGAGCGAA